rnacentral:rRNA from 1 species
UACGUAGGACCAGAGCGUUGUCCGGAUUUACUGGGUGUAAAGGGCGUGUAGGUGGGCGCUUAAGUCGAUGGUGAAAUCCUGCGGCUCAACCGUAGAAUUGCCGUUGAUACUGGGCGUCUUGAGUGCGGCAGAGGGAGAUGGAAGUCAUGGUGUAGCGGUGAAAUGUGUAGAUAUCAUGAAGAACACCGGUAGCGAAGGCGGUCUCCUGGUCCGUUACUGACACUGAGGCGCGAAAGCGUGGGGAGCAAACAG